UUUUUUACCCUUUGAGUUGCUUAAAGGGGAGAGCCACAUUAUAAAUCACUGCAAUGCUCAGCUCUAGCACAGAAAAGAUUUAAUACGAUUUUGUGUACAUGAUUUGUCAGUGAUGGUGAACUUAUGCAUGAGUGUCACCUCUACUGAGAUCAAUACUAAGUGUCAGUCCUCUAUCCUAGAGGCUUGAGAAAAUUAUAUUUGAGAUGGGCAUAGAUGUUCCAUAGCAGCAUCUUUAUCAUCAGAAACUUGUGUCCACGGUCAUAGAUAUCAGCACAUGUUAAAGUACUUAAGUGGUAAGAAACGUGCAGUAGCUAGGUUGUAGAUGUGUGCAUUCACAGUGAAUGGGAAGAGAGAAUGCAUGAAUGAAAAAAUCAGUACGGAUACGGUAAAAAGGAGUAGGAACUGCUAUUGAAUAGUGAGAUGAAGAGGAUAUUUAGUAAUAGAUAUAGGAUUGAUGUCACAGCACAGUGAUAUGGUGAGGUAGAAUAAAUAUUGAGAUAUAACAAUUGUGAACUGGGAUGAGACAGCUGUGAGGAUUUAUGGAAGGCUAAUGUGGAUGGGGGAAGGGAGAGGAAAGAGAUAGUGAGUGAGCACCAAGACAGGAAAGGAUGGAGAGAAGAAAUUGAGAUGACUCCAUACAGAAGAGCGGGAGUCUGAAUAGAAGAGAGAAGUGCGUAUGGAUGGACAGGCAGGAAGACGAGGAAAGAAAACAAGGAGAAUAUUGUACAGUCGAAAAUAAAAAGGCUAAUGUUUCUUCAAAAGAUUUUCUAUUUGGGCUCAAGCUUGUCAUCAUCAUUGAUGUAACUUAAAGUUUCAUCCCCUAGAGAAUACUUACUUUCUUACAGUAGGGCUUGAAGGUGAUGUUCCACUUACACAGUUAAAAACAUAAUUCCUUUUUUUGUAUAAUCACUCCACAUUGAAAUGCCCAAUCCCUGCCCAUAUGUUUAUAAAGUCAGUGCUUUGGUAAUUUUAGAUAUCUAAUGAAAGAGGUAGUCUAAGCACCAUAACCACUAAAACUACUGUUUAUGGUGCUUCACGCCCUGUGUCUGGUUAGUGUCAAACAGUUUUGGUGUGGUUUUCCCAGCACCACUGCAGAGGCUUGCUACUGUGGAACAGAGUGUACAAAACAGCUCUGCAACCAUGGAAAGCAUCGAUUGGCUCAGAACACUGGAGGCAGUUCAUCCCAGCCUAUCAUUGAAGUCCUAGGUUGCACAUCUUGGACUGAUAAUGCAAAAGUGAUUAUCCAUUAUCCAAGUGGCAAAGGAUCAAGCU